AGGAAUCCAACCGGGUCGACCUUAGAACACAUGUGAUUGUUUUUCGAUUUCGAUAUGGUUUAUUUCAUGUGUUCUCAGGUCGCCCCUGUCGGGUUUCC
rfam:Gossypium hirsutum cultivar TM-1 unplaced genomic scaffold scaffold171.1, whole genome shotgun sequence